rnacentral:lncRNA from 10 species
CUGCUGUGCGGCCCCAUCUUGCAUGAGCUGCCUCCACUCAGCAGAAUGUGGCAGAAUUGGCCGGAAGCAGAAUUGCCUGUUUCCAGUGAGGCCCCCUUGCCCUCUUGGAAGCAAUUGCUGUGUAGGAAGUCUGAACACCUCACAGGAGAUGGAGGCCAGUUCCUGCCUGCUGUAGCCACCCAGCUGAAGGGGGUCCAGACACGAGUGGAGGCAUUGUGACCUCCAGCCUCAGCAGACACCUCCACACUGCGCAGGGCAGAGCAACCACGCCACCGAGUGAGCCCCAUUUGCAGACUUUGAGCAAAUAAUGAUUGUGCACGUUGGAUCAUUUAUUGAGUUUCUCUCGUACACCAAGCACUGGUUGGAUCCCAUGCUUGUUGGUGACAGAACUGCUGUGAUGCCAGUCCUGCGUCCCCUUCAGCCUGUGAAGGAGGAGCACCAUGAACCAGCCAACUAACACGUGUCUAAUCACAUAAAGGGAACUGAACACCAGAGAGCCACAGUCACUUUCCGAAGGUCACACAGCAAGUGCAAAUGAGGCCUCAUCCUCAGGGCUGGGUUCCAGGCCUGCUGGGCAGGUCGGUUACUGCUGCACAAAAUUUCUGUUAUCCUAAAAUUGUUUCAGACAAGCACCAAAGGACGUCCCAUAGUUCUGCUUGACUAAGGUUUAAUGAAGUUAAUGUUCAUACUUUCCACUCUAUUUUUCC